CAAGAUCCAACGGUGGAGGGUCCCAUUAUCUAUCAACUGUUAUCUGACAAGUCGCCACGUGUCACUCAUCCUGAUCUGUUUCAGUACUAUUGCCCCCACCGAAUCAUAAUCUUGCCCUCGCUCGCUCGCUUGAUGGAGCAAAAACCUAAAGGGCUAGGAGAGAAAAUAUUGUCCUCUUCUUUUUUUCCCUCUCUUAGAGUUAGCUCUGUUUUGUAACUGGUGAAGCGGAAAACAGAUAUAUAGCUAAGAUCUCCUCAUCAUUCAGAGGCUUCUAAAUUGGUUUGACAUGGAACAACUGUUUCCUGGUUGGAAUUUGGAAGAUAAUUUCCACGUGUCCACUAGUAAAAGAUCAAUCAGACCAGAAGAUGAACUAGUGGAGCUAUUUUGGAGAGAUGGUCAAGUGGUUUUACAAAGCCAAGUUCGUAGAGAACCAUCAGUCCAAGUCCAAAACCACAAACAUGAUCAAGCCCUACGAGAACCAAACAACACUUUUCUUGUCAACCAAGAAACAGUACAGAAACAUAAUAACACUCUUCAAGAAGAUCAAGAAACCGUCUCUUGGAUCCAAUACCCUUCUGAAGACGUAAUUGACCCCUUUGAAUCCGAGUUCUCCUCCCAUUUCUUC